UCUGCUUCUGAGAUACCAGAAAUUCCGGUCCAAGGCCGUUCGAUUUCUCUGCGUCUGGUCGGUUUCCGGUGUUCUCUCGGUUGGAACCACGUCCUUCGUAGUUUGAGUUCCUGCACGUGUUCUGAUAACAGCUACUUCCCAUUUCAUAAACGCCGUAACAAGUACGCCGACUGUUGAACGUUCGUUCUGUUGCUAUUUUGAAGCUAUUUGAGAUGGCGAACGGACAUCCUGCGGGGCCUUGCUUUCAGAAGGCCGCCGAUCAGCUUCUUUAUCACGCGCAGACGGACACCAAACAUUGGCGACCUGCUGCUUUAAAGAGUCGUGCAAUUCUUGCCCUACCAGAAGAACAGUAGAACACUCCGAAGAGCGACUGCGAUGAUGAUUCCCGCUGUCGUACUACUUGUUGUAGCUGCAUUUGCCUUUGGGCCCUGCAGCUUCGUGAAUGGUUUCAACGUUCCGGCUAUACCUACUCAUGCCGCGAAUGGCAAGUGCAUUCACCUAGGCAAGACCCUGGAACCUUACGUGUGGACCCCGAUGGAUCACCCCGUCUGCGGAUCUCUUGUAUGCAAUUACGAGACCAAGCUCGUCUACGUCCACUACUGCGACCCAGAACGACGCCCCCGUGAAGGAUGCAGGCUCAUCCCUGGUAACCCGGAUGCUUUGUAUCCCGGUUGCUGCGAACAGGAGCAUUGUCCCUAACAGCAACCAUGCUCAGAGAAAGGCUGUUAAGAACUUCCUUUGAAAUAAAGUGAAUAUUAAUCAUC